GGGUUGCCAACACAAUCUUCAAUCUUCCUAUGAAGAUUAAAGCACCUUGCUCCAAGUAGAGAGCAGAUGGGAGAGGCACAGAGGUAACAAAAUUGACUGCUUAAAUAUCAAUUCAUUAUCCUGUUCUCAAGCUGAGGAUUUGUAAAGCAAUGCAAGUGCUCCAACUCAGGAAAACAGAGGAGACGGAGAAGCAAAGACAACCUAGGGAAUCUGUGCACACCUAAAUAAGCCUGCUCUUCAGAUUCCCUACAUUUUGCUGUGACAUAGUGACAAGGCACUGCUCUAGGCGAGACUCAAUAAAAUCCAGUCCCUGAGAAGAUCAGUUCAGUCCUGGCACACUUCACAUUCCAGAAGACACCUGA